rnacentral:tRNA from 1 species
GCCCCAGUACGCUAUCCGGUAUCGCGGCCACUCUCAGAAAGUGGUGUUUCUGUCCGUUCGACUCGGACCUGGGGUACCA